rnacentral:rRNA from 1 species
GAUGAACGCUGGCGGCGUGCCUAAUACAUGCAAGUCGAGCGAACAGACGAGGAGCUUGCUCCUCUGACGUUAGCGGCGGACGGGUGAGUAACACGUGGAUAACCUACCUAUAAGACUGGGAUAACUUCGGGAAACCGGAGCUAAUACCGGAUAACAUGUUGAACCGCAUGGUUCAACAGUGAAAGACGGUCUUGCUGUCACUUAUAGAUGGAUCCGCGCCGCAUUAGCUAGUUGGUAAGGUAACGGCUUACCAAGGCAACGAUGCGUAGCCGACCUGAGAGGGUGAUCGGCCACACUGGAACUGAGACACGGUCCAGACUCCUACGGGAGGCAGCAGUAGGGAAUCUUCCGCAAUGGGCGAAAGCCUGACGGAGCAACGCCGCGUGAGUGAAGAAGGUCCUCGGAUCGUAAAACUCUGUUAUUAGGGAAGAACAAAUGUGUAAGUAACUAUGCACGUCUUGACGGUACCUAAUCAGAAAGCCACGGCUAACUACGUG